rnacentral:rRNA from 1 species
AACGAACGCUGGCGGCGCGCCUAACACAUGCAAGUCGAACGAGAAUCCGGGGCAACCCGGUAGUAAAGUGGCAAACGGGUGAGGAAUACAUGGGUAACCUACCCUUGAGAAGGGAAUAACCCGCCGAAAGGUGAGCUAAUACCCUAUACGCUAUCUUUUUUUCGAAAAGGAUAGGAAAGCCGGGUCGAGGACCCUGGGUACUCAAGGAGGGGCUCAUGUCCUAUCAGCUUGUGGUGGGUAACGGCCUACCAAGGCUACGACGGGUAGCUGGUCUGAGAGGAUCGAUCAGCCACACUGGCACCGAGAUACGGGCCAGACUCCUACGGGAGGCAGCAGUGAGGAAUAUUGACGCAAUGGGCGAAAGCCUGACGCAGCGACGCCGCGU